GACGAACGCUGGCGGCGUGCUUAACACAUGCAAGUCGAACGGAAAGGCCCUGCUUUUGUGGGGUGCUCGAGUGGCGAACGGGUGAGUAACACGUGAGUAACCUGCCCUUGACUUUGGGAUAACUUCAGGAAACUGGGGCUAAUACCGGAUAGGAGCUCCUGCUGCAUGGUGGGGGUUGGAAAGUUUCGGCGGUUGGGGAUGGACUCGCGGCUUAUCAGCUUGUUGGUGGGGUAGUGGCUUACCAAGGCUUUGACGGGUAGCCGGCCUGAGAGGGUGACCGGCCACAUUGGGACUGGGAUACGGCCCAGACUCCUCCGGGAGGCAGCAGUGGGGAAUAUUGCACAAUGGGCGGAAGCCUGAUGCAGCAACGCCGCGUGCGGGAUGACGGCCUUCGGGUUGUAAACCGCUUUCGCCUGUGACGAAGCGUGAGUGACGGUAAUGGGUAAAGAAGCACCGGCUAACUACGUG
rnacentral:rRNA from 1 species